rnacentral:rRNA from 1 species
AGAGUUUGAUCAUGGCUCACACUCUACGCUGGCGGCGUGCCUAACACAUGCAAGUCGAACGCGAAAGCCCCGAAAGGGGCAAGUAGAGUGGCAAACGGGUGAGUAACACGUGGGUGACCUGCCUUCGAGCGGGGGAUAACGUCCCGAAAGGGACGCUAAUACCGCAUAAUAUCCUGCCUUUGAAGAGGUGGAGAUCAAAGCUGGGGAUCGCAAGACCCGGCACUUGAAGAGGGGCCCGCGUCUGAUUAGCUAGUUGGUGGGGUAACGGCCUACCAAGGCAACGAUCAGUAUCCGGCCUGAGAGGGCGGACGGACACACUGGGACUGAGACACGGCCCAGACUCCUACGGGAGGCAGCAGUGGGGAAUUGUUCGCAAUGGGCGCAAGCCUGACGACGCAACGCCGCGUGGAGGAUGAAGAUUUUCGGAUCGUAAACUCCUGUCGAAUGGGACGAACAGAUUGCGGGUUAACAGCCCGUAGUCCUGACGGUACCGUUAAAGGAAACCCCGGCUAACUCCGUGCCAGCAGCCGCGGUAAUACGGGGGGGGUAAGCGUUGUUCGGAAUUACUGGGCGUAAAGGGCUCGUAAGCGGCCAACUAAGUCAUACGUGAAAUCCCUCAACUUAACUGGGGAACUGCGUGUGAUACUGGAUGGCUUGGAU